rnacentral:rRNA from 1 species
CGAUCUGGCUCAGGAUGAACGCUAGCUACAGGCUUAACACAUGCAAGUCGAGGGGCAGCAUGUGGUUGCUUGCAACCAAUGAUGGCGACCGGCGCACGGGUGAGUAACGCGUAUCCAACCUUCCCCUUAGUAGAGGAUAGCCCGGCGAAAGUCGGAUUAAUACUCUAUGUUCUUCAAUGCGGACAUCUAAGUUGAAGCAAAGAUUUAUCGCUAAGGGAUGGGGAUGCGUCUGAUUAGGUUGCAGGCGGGGUAACGGCCCACCUGGCCUACGAUCAGUAGGGGUUCUGAGAGGAAGGUCCCCCACACUGGUACUGAGACACGGACCAGACUCCUACGGGAGGCAGCAGUGAGGAAUAUUGGUCAAUGGGCGCGAGCCUGAACCAGCCAAGUAGCGUGCCAGGACGACUGCCCUAUGGGUUGUAAACUGCUUUUAUCAGGGAAUAAAGUGAGGCACGCGUGUCCUUUUUGUAUGUACCUGAUGAAUAAGGACCGGCUAAUUCCGUGCCAGCCGCCGC